rnacentral:rRNA from 1 species
UACGUAGGUGGCAAGCGUUGUCCGGAUUUACUGGGCGUAAAGAGCGCGCAGGCGGUCGUUCAAGUCGCGUGUGAAAGCCCCCGGCUCAACUGGGGAGGGUCACGCGAUACUGAUCGACUCGAAGGCAGGAGAGGGUAGUGGAAUUCCCGGUGUAGUGGUGAAAUGCGUAGAUAUCGGGAGGAACACCAGUGGCGAAGGCGACUACCUGGCCUGUUCUUGACGCUGAGGCGCGAAAGCUAGGGGAGCGAACGGGGAUUAAGAUAC